GCAGCAUUGUGACUUUACAGCAGGAGGAAACAGGAGAAGAUGGAGGGUGAGGGAGCAAAUCCUGCUUUCAGCACAAAUAGCUCUCGUAAUUUCCUGAGCAAACGGACUAAGAGAAAUCACAAAAAGCAUAAGGAAGAUGAUCACUUUCUCGAUGAGUAUGAGACACCUAUCAAAAACACAGUGCACCUAUGAUGAUUUUUGAUAUCUCGCCCUGUUCAGAGCAAGCCAAUACAAAACUCUACUGGAAAUGACUCCUUGAAGAAGACGAGGUCUAUAUACGUGUCUGACUCCAGGCAAAGGUUUAAAAUGAAUAUAUUACUGACAGACAGGUUUUUUGUAUUUA